rnacentral:rRNA from 1 species
GACAGAGGUGCCAAGCGUUAGGCGGAAUCACUGGGCUUAAAGCGUGUGUAGGCGGGCGGGCAAGUACCUUGUGAAACCCCACGGCUCAACCGUGGAACGGCUGGGUAUACUGCCUGUCUUGAGCCAGCUAGGGGCGACCGGAACAGACGGUGGAGCGGUGAAAUGCGUAGAUAUCGUCUGGAACGCCAAAGGUGAAAACAGGUCGCUGGGGCUGAGCUGACGCUGAGACACGAAAGCCAGGGGAGCGAACGGG